CCAGGCUCAGAACAUCAUUACCAUCACCAUUACUACCACCACCACCACCACAACCACCUUAACUUCUUCCUCUUUUUUUCUUCUCCUCCUUCAUCAGCUACCAUUUAUUGAUAAUCUAUGAUGUAUCAGGAAUUUUACAAAUAAUAUUUCAUGAAAUUUUAUUCUCAGCAUAUUCAUUAUAACUUCAGAAAAUAAUUACCAUUAUAUCCAGUUU
rnacentral:lncRNA from 1 species